CAGGAAUAUGACAGAAGGCAUCACAAAAUAUCACAGAAGAUGAAACUACUGAAGCUGAGAGAGAAUCCAGGCUUAUCCAAGUUUACGAAGUUGCUUUGUACUAUCAAUAGGAUUAAAGUUAUAUAUUUUGACAUAUAACUUGAAAAUUGUUUUAAUACUGGUUUCAAAUGAUUAGGGAUCAGAAAUGGAACUAAGAACUUCUUGAUUCAAGGAGCUG